CUUGGGUUAAACAAUGGAAAUUAACACUGUAUAUUUAUAUAAACGAUCAAUCUUGUAAAUUAUAUAUAAAUAUACUAAAUAAAUAAAUGAUUUGGAAAAUACAUUGAAGGUAUAAAAAGUCAUGAGAAUUCCGAAUGUCCCGUUGAACAUAACAGAAAAUAACCGCAAGUCUCCGAAUAAAAAGGUAAAGUAGGUCAAAGACGCUAAAAUUAUU
rnacentral:lncRNA from 1 species